rnacentral:rRNA from 1 species
AUUGAACGCUGGCGGCAUGCCUUACACAUGCAAGUCGAACGGCAGCACGGGGCAACCUGGUGGCGAGUGGCGAACGGGUGAGUAAUGCAUCGGAACGUGCCAUUGAGUGGGGGACAACGUAGCGAAAGUUGCGCUAAUACCGCAUAUUCUGUGAGCAGGAAAGCAGGGGACCGCAAGGCCUUGCGCUCUUUGAGCGGCCGAUGUCAGAUUAGCUAGUUGGUGAGGUAACGGCUUACCAAGGCGACGAUCUGUAGCGGGUCUGAGAGGAUGAUCCGCCACACUGGAACUGAGACACGGCCCAGACUCCUACGGGAGGCAGCAGUGGGGAAUUUUGGACAAUGGGGGCAACCCUGAUCCAGCCAUGCCGCGUGAGUGAAGAAGGCC